UGUUUAUCCUGCAGGAGGUUGCUGCUAUCAGAAUUCUGUUCAGACAUGCAAGUCAGCUCAGCAAUGGGCGGCGAACUGCUCAGUAACACGUCGAUAAUCUUCCUUGAAGUCUGGGAUAAUCUCGGGAAACUGAGUGUAAACCCGGAUAUGGAAAAGAUACUGGAAUGUGCUUUUCUUCAAAAGCAAUGCUUCAAGAUGAGUCGGCGGCGGAUUAGGUUGUUGGCGAGGUAAUGGCUCACCAAGCCGAAGAUCCGUAGGGGCCUUGAGAGAGGUUGCCCCGAGAGGGACACUGAGAUACUGGUCCCAGCCCUAAGGGGUGCAGCAGUUAAGAGUUCUUUACAAUGCGCGCAAGCGUGAUAAGGGGAUUCUGAGUGCUCAGGUUUAACCUGGGCUUUUACCAAGAGUAAAUAUCUUGGAGAGUAAGUGGUGGGCAAGACUGGUGCCAGCCGCCGCGGUAAUCCCAGCGCCACAAGUUGCAACCACGUUUAUUGGGUCUAAAGCAUUCGUAGCCGGCUCUUUAAAUUUCCUGUGAAAUCGUCGCGCUCAACGUGACGGCGGGCAGGGAAGACUGAAAAGCUUGGGACCGGGAGAGGUAAGAGGUAUUCUAGGGGGAGCGGUAAAAUGUUUUAAUCCUUAGAGGACCACCGAUGGCGAAGGCAUCUUACCAGGACGGCUCUGACGGUGAGGAAUGAAAGCUAGGGGAGCGAACCGGAUUAGAUACCCGAGUAGUCCUAGCUGUAAACACUGCAUGCCAGAUGUUCCUCAAUCUUCGAGAUUGUGGAGUGUCGAAACGAAGGUGUUAAGCAUGCCACCUGGGAAUUACGGUCGCAAGACUGAAACUUAAAGGAAUUGGCGGGGGAGCACUACAACGGGUGCGGCGUGCGGUUUAAUCGAAUUCAACGCCGAGAAUCUCACCAGCGGCGACGGCACUAUGAAGGUCAGUCUAAAGGGCUUGCCUGGGGAGCCGAGAGGUGGUGCAUGGCCACCGUCAGCUCGUGCCGUGAGGUGUCCUGUUAAGUCAGGCAACGAGCGAGACCUAUGUCUACUGUUGCUCACGCGAAAGUAAUUUCGAGCGAGCACACUGUAGAGACUGCCUUCGAAAGGAGGAGGAAGGUGUAGGCAACGGUAAGUCUGUAUGCCCCGAUCUGCUGGGCUACACGCGCGCAACAAUGAUACGGACAAUGGGAUGCAACUCCGAAAGGAGAAGCUAAACCUCUAAACCGUACCUUAGUUCGGAUUGAGGGUUGCAACUCACCCUCAUGACGUCGGAAUCCGUAGUAAUCAGACGUUAGCAUCGUCCGGUGAAUAUGUCCCUGCUCCUUGCACACACCGCCCAUCAAACCAACCGAGCAGGGCUUAGAUGAGCCUUUAUUUUUGAUAAAGCCGAAUCUAAGUUCAGUGAGGUGGGUCAAGUUGUCACAAGGUA
rnacentral:rRNA from 1 species